AAAGCUUUAGCUUAAUUAAAGCGCUUGUUUUGCAAGCAAGAGAUGUGAGUUAGAGCCUUGCAAGUUUUA
rnacentral:tRNA from 3 species